GGGGUGCAACACGAGGACUUCCCAGGAGGUCACCCAUCCUAGUAAUACUCUCGCCCAAGCACGCUUAACUGCGGAGUUCUGAUGGGAUCCGGUGCAUUAGUACUGGUAUGAUCGCACCC
rnacentral:rRNA from 1 species